rnacentral:misc_RNA from 1 species
CUGAGUGAGGGCGAAAGCCCGACCUCCAACCCUUUGUGAACCAACUCUGUUGCUUCGGGGGCGACCCCGCCGUUUCGGCGACGGCGCCCCCGGAGGUCAUCAAACACUGCAUCUUUGCGUCGGAGUCUUAAAGUAAAUUUAAACA